rnacentral:rRNA from 1 species
GACGAACGCUGGCGGCGUGCUUAACACAUGCAAGUCGAACGGAAAGGCCCUGCUUUUGUGGGGUGCUCGAGUGGCGAACGGGUGAGUAACACGUGAGUAACCUGCCCUUGACUUUGGGAUAACUUCAGGAAACUGGGGCUAAUACCGGAUAGGAGCUCCUGCUGCAUGGUGGGGGUUGGAAAGUUUCGGCGGUUGGGGAUGGACUCGCGGCUUAUCAGAUUGUUGGUGGGGUAGUGUCUUACCAAGGCUUGGACGGGUAGCAGGCCUGAGAGGGGAACCGGACAAAUUGGACUGGGAAUGAGGCCCGGACUAGACCGGGAGGCAAGGCAGGGGAAGAGAACAUAGUGGGCGGAGGCCAGACGCAGCAAAGCAGCGUGGGGGAAGAGGGGAAGGGGGUAGUAUUCUGAUGUCGCUUUUGACGAGGUGUGAAUGACGGUAACGGGUAAAUAAGCUCCGGCUAACUACGUG